rnacentral:rRNA from 1 species
GGGAUUGCCCUAGUAACGGCGAGUGAAGCGGCAACAGCUCAAAUUUGAAAUCUGGCGCAAGCCCGAGUUGUAAUUUGUAGAGGAUGCUUCUGGGUAGCGACCGAUCUAAGUUCCUUGGAACAGGACGUCAUAGAGGGUGAGAAUCCCGUAUGUGACCGGCCCGCACCCUUUACGUAGCUCCUUCGACGAGUCGAGUUGUUUGGGAAUGCAGCUCUAAAUGGGAGGUAAAUUUCUUCUAAAGCUAAAUACCGGCCAGAGACCGAUAGCGCACAAGUAGAGUGAUCGAAAGAUGAAAAGUACUUUGGAAAGAGAGUUAAAAAGCACGUGAAAUUGUUGAAAGGGAAGCGCCUGCAACCAGACUUCGCGGCAGUGUUCCGCCGGUCUUCUGACCGGUUUAUUCUCUGUCGCGAGGCCAUCAUCGUCUGGGCCCGCCGGAUAAGACCUUAGGAAUGUAGCUCACCUUCGGGGGAGUGUUAUAGCCUAUGGGGAUGCGGCGAGGCUCGGGCGAGGUCCGCGCUUCGGCAAGGAUGAUGGCGUAAUGGUUGUCGGCGGCCCGUCUUGAAACACGGACCAAGGAGUCUAACAUCUAUGCGAGUGUUCGGGUGUCAAACCCCUACGCGUAAUGAAAGUGAACGGAGGUGGGAACCGCAAGGUGCACCAUCGACCGAUCCUGAUGUCCUCGGAUGGAUUUGAGUAAGAGCAUAGCUGUUGGGACCCGAAAGAUGGUGAACUAUGCCUGAAUAGGGUGAAGCCAGAGGAAACUCUGGUGGAGGCUCGCAGCGGUUCUGACGUGCAAAUCGAUCGUCAAAUUUGGGUAUAGGGGCG